CACAAACCAGAAAAGAGAGAUGCCCUAGGGAAAAAAGGAACUCGACGGUGAAGAUGGCGGCGCGGCCGACGGCAGCAGCGCGGUCGCCGGCCGGCCCAGAGGUACAAAGAACGGAUGCGGGCUGACUGCCUUUCUCCUGACGUUGUCCAGCAUGACAUCUCUGGAAGAUAAUGAAGGGUAUAGUUGUUAGCGAUGAUGCAGAGACCGAGGGUUAAACUUCCUCUUCGAAAAGGAAAAAGAAAAACAAUCCUCUGUGGUUAAGUCUAAUUGAGAGUGGAAACAUGUAUUCCAAGAAUAGAAUGGGAGCUGCACUUACGAAGAAAGGAAGCAACUGCUAUCCCAAUGCCCAGAUAUACGAAGUUGAGAACAACCUGGAGAUCAAAAGAACAUUCUCGGUUAACUCGUCUAGCCAAUCUUCAGGUUAAGCGAUCUGAUCACCGUAAGCUGGGGCGCACCUUGGUGACAGCGGGGAGGACGGUGCUGGUGGUGCUCUCGCCGAAGGAGUUGAUGGCGUCUCCAAAGACGACCAGCAUGAGGGACCCCGCCACGCCGUUGCCCACCGCCCCCAGCGAGCCGACCACCAUGAGCAGCACGUCGAGACUGUCGGCGUACCUGAACAUGCCGAGCAACGACACCUUCUUCUCCGUCUGGUCAUCUUUUUCUUGCUCGCCGCCGUGGCGUGCUCCUUCUCCACUACGAGCUUCUGCUGUCGCGUUCAUUUCCUGGCAGCUACUGGUUGCGUUGCUGGUGUGCUCGACGAACCCAGCCUGCACUGUGCCGUGUGGUUCCCUGUCCCCGGGGCUGGAGGAGCACUGUAUAUACGCAUUUCGCCGGUCGCCCAGAGCCCAAGACGGGGUGUUUUGACUGUUCUUGGGCUGAUUGGGUGCUCCGAAGCAGAGGAAGGGACCGGGAAAGUUUGCAAUGGAAAAGUACUUUUUUGCCCACGGAUUUAUCAACUUUUUUUUGUGUGGAUUUGCACGAGAUUUAUCGUUGGCAUGUGGUGAUUUGCUGCCGCAAUUCAAGAUUCACAGCCUACUUUUGUUCGCUGCGCCAGCGACUCAGCGUAGUCACUAGUUGGUCAAAUGGACUGACCAGUAUUGUAACCUGAGGUGAGCUAAGAUGGUCUCCGGUGCGGUGGUCAGUGGUCACCGCUACUUGUUUAUUUUUUUAAGUUGACCAAAUGCUUGUUUCUAGAAAGGAAAAAAAGGUGUGGACAUAUCGUAAGCUGGUACGGCCACGGAAUGUGGAUAUAAACAUGGAAUCCUCUAUUCCUAAACCUACUAUCUAUUUUUUUUCUAUCCAUGUAGCAAUGUCACA